rnacentral:rRNA from 1 species
AAUUUUAGGAUUAUUAAAUUUAUUAGGAUAUUUAUGAUUUAAAAAAAGUAAUUUUUAAUUUUAUUAAUUUGUAUGAAUAAAUUAAUAUAUAUAUAUAUAUAUAUAUAUAUAUAUAUAUAAUUAUAGAGAAUUAGUAUUGUAGAAGAAAUUUAUAAAAUUUUAAUAAAAGAAGAAUUAAGUUUUUGUACCUUGUGUAUCAGGGUUUAUUAAUUAAAAUUUAUAAAUUUAAAUUUCUCGAAUUUAAUAGAUUUAUAAUUAUAUAUUAUUUUAUUGUUGCAUAAAUAUUAAUAAUAUAAUUAUGGAAAUGAAACGUUAGUCGUUUUUAAAUAUAUCUAGUUUUUUAAGAAAAAAAUUAAAUUUGAUCUUUAAAUAUAUAUAUAUAUAUAUAUAUAUAUAUAUAAUAAAUUUUAUUAUUAAAAUUUAUUAUAUUAAGGUUUAAAAUUUUAGGGGAUGAGCUUUAGAAUUGAUUUAUAUAAUUAUUUAAUUAAUAAUUUAUAAAUAAAUAGGAUUGAAAGUCUCUUUUUUUAGUGUUUUAUAACAAAUUUAUUAUUUAUAAUUUAAAUUUUUAUUGAAAAAUUUAUAUGAUUAUAUUAAAAUAUAAAUUUAAAUUUAUUAAGUUUAGAAAUAAUGGUAAAAUUAGUAUAAGAUUUUGUUUAUUUAUAAAUAAAGUAUAGGUUAAUUAAAGGAAUUCGGCAAAUAUUUUUUCACCUGUUUAUUAAAAACAUGGCCUUUUGAUUAUAAUUUAAGGUCUGGCCUGCCCAAUGAUUUAUUUAAUGGCCGCAGUAUUUUGACUGUGCAAAGGUAGCAUAAUCAUUAGUUUUUUAAUUGAAAGCUGGUAUGAAAGGUUUGAUGAGAAAAAGACUGUCUCUAUUUAAAUUUAUUAAAAUUUUAUUUUUAAGUUAAAAAGCUUAAAUAUUUAUUGAAGACGAGAAGACCCUAUAGAGUUUUAUAUUAAAUUUAGUUAUAGUUGAUUUAGAAAUAAAUAAUUAUGAUUAAUCAUUUAUUUAGUUGGGGCGAUUAAAAAAUUUAUUAAACUUUUUUUUUAUAUUAUCAUUGAUUUAUGAGUAAUUGAUCCUUGAAUAAAGAUUAUAAGAUAAAAUUACCUUAGGGAUAACAGCGUAAUUUUUUUUAAGAGUUCAAAUCAAAAGAAAAGAUUGCGACCUCGAUGUUGGAUUAAAAGGAAAUAUUGGUGUAGAAGCUAAUAGAUUUGGUCUGUUCGACCAUUAAAAUUUUACAUGAUCUGAGUUUAAACCGGUGUAAGCCAGGUUGGUUUCUAUCUCUAUAAAUUAAAAAUAUUUUAGUACGAAAGGACCAAGUAUUUAAUUAAAAAUUUAUUAUAUAUAUAUAUAUAUAUAUAUAUAUAUAUAUAUAUAUAUAUAUAUAUAAAUUGAAUAUUA